GAGGGUAUAGCUCAAGAGGUAGAGCACAUGCUUAGUGUGCACAAGGUCCUGGGUUCCAUACCCAGUACCUCUU
rnacentral:tRNA from 1 species